UACGUAGGAGGCAAGCGUUGUCCGGAAUUACUGGGCGUAAAGCGCGUGUAGGUGGUGGGACAAGUCUGCUGUGAAAGCGCCUGGCUUAACCGGGCGAGGUCGGCGGAAACUGUUCGACUCGAGGACGGUAGAGGGGGGUGGAAUUCCCGGUGUAGUGGUGAAAUGCGUAGAGAUCGGGAGGAACGUCAAUGGCGAAGGCAGCCACCUGGCAUAAUACUGACGCUGAGGCGCGAAAAGCGUGGGGAGCGAACAGG
rnacentral:rRNA from 1 species